AUUUAAUUAUCAUAUUUAAACAA
rnacentral:snRNA from 1 species